rnacentral:misc_RNA from 1 species
AACGCAUAUUGCGCCCUUUGGUAUUCCGAAGGGCAUGCCUGUUCGAGCGUCAUUAACGACCGUCAAGCCUGGCUUGGUGUUGGACGUCGGUCGUUGAGACCGCGUCCCAAAGACAAUGGCGGUGUCGAUUCAGUCCUCGGUGCAACGAGCUCCACGAGCACGCACCGCACGGGCUAUCGGCGCCCGCCGAGACCCCUUAUUUUCUCAGGUUGACCUCGGAUCAGGUAGGUAUACCCGCUGAACUUAA